AGCGGCGGACGGGUGAGUAACGCGUGGGUAACCUGCCCUAUACACAUGGAUAACAUACUGAAAAGUUUACUAAUACAUGAUAAUAUAUAUUUGCGGCAUCGCAGAUAUAUCAAAGUGUUAGCGGUAUAGGAUGGACCCGCGUCUGAUUAGCUAGUUGGUGAGAUAACUGCCCACCAAGGCGACGAUCAGUAGCCGACCUGAGAGGGUGAUCGGCCACAUUGGAACUGAGACACGGUCCAAACUCCUACGGGAGGCAGCAGUGGGGAAUAUUGCACAAUGGGCGAAAGCCUGAUGCAGCAACGCCGCGUGAACGAUGAAGGUCUUCGGAUCGUAAAGUUCUGUUGCAGGGGAAGAUAAUGACGGUACCCUGUGAGGAAGCCCCGGCUAACUACGUGCCAGCAGCCGCGGUAAUACGUAGGGGGCUAGCGUUAUCCGGAUUUACUGGGCGUAAAGGGUGCGUAGGUGGUCCUUCAAGUCGGUGGUUAAAGGCUACGGCUCAACCGUAGUAAGCCGCCGAAACUGGAGGACUUGAGUGCAGGAGAGGAAAGUGGAAUUCCCAGUGUAGCGGUGAAAUGCGUAGAUAUUGGGAGGAACACCAGUAGCGAAGGCGGCUUUCUGGACUGCAAC
rnacentral:rRNA from 1 species